rnacentral:lncRNA from 1 species
CCCACACACUCUCUCUCUAUGGGCCACUCUUUGUAUCUCUUUCUACCAUCACUUUUCCUUUUCUCUCUCUAGUCUCUACUACCAUUGUACCCGCCCCUACCUAGCAUAACAUAACUAUCAAAGAAAGUAGAUGUGCGCAGCGGUUGUAGACCAAACACUUAUCCAUUCAUUUCUUAUCUAAAAUCUACACUUAUCUCGUUGAAAUUCGUUCUAGAUAUUUCCAUUUAUACAACUUUUUUGCUGUUUUCAUCUAUUUUUACCAUUUAUCAUAGGGUGAACAGAGAAUAUUUAUUUUGAUAUCUUCUGUUACGAAUGAUGGAAUAAGGCAGUAAUUCGGAGCCUAAUCCGAGCAGAGUCGAAGAGGACAGGGUAACAAAUGCGUUGGGGUGUUUGUUGAGGAAGAGUGGUGGAGGUGGGUUGCCAGUUCCCGUGGACAAGCUACUGCUGUUGAUGUCUUGUGGGUUUGUUAUCAUUGAUUCGUUGGAGUCAAAUCUAUCAAUUAUUUAUGUUAAUCUAGCGUUCGAGAUGGUCACUAAGUGAAAAAUAAGUUGGUACCCAGUCGAUGAUGACGUGACUUCGGUGCGAAUGGUGGUGGUGUUAGUGGAGUGGGUUGGCAACAACAUAUGAGUACAAAUUUGCUGCUGUUGGUGGUGAGGGGAUGGCGAUGUUCGGGUGGUAUUGAUUUUGGCAGAAUGGCGGUGGGUCGAAGUGGGGUGAUAAGUUGACCAAUUUUGACCAAUUAUUUGGGUAAUCGUGACGAAUAAAAUGAUCGAUUUGGGGGCAAAAAUCAAUUGGGGGCUGCUGUAUCAAUCUCCUCUCCAUUGAUCUUCUUUCUCUCUCUCUUUAAAUAUCCUAAUUCUGUAGGAUUAAUUGGGGAUUGUUGUACAUAAUCCGACAAGAUCGAUGGGCGCCAUUGCUCAAUCAACCCAAGUUUGCGAGCCCCAAUCAACCUAGUGGCAUAGGUAGUACGUUGCUGGUGGUGAUAUUUGAUUGACGUUGUUGGGAGUGGUGGUAGUGACAAUGAAAAUCGAGUAUGACCAAGUCUAUUUUCAAUGUGACUGUUCGUGACCAAAUCUAUAAUAACUAUAACUGUAUGUGACUGGGUUACAUAUAGUCACAAAUUAGACAUAUAUGGUUACAGAUAGUCACACUGAAGACAAAAUUGGUCACAACUAAUCAUAGAUAACAAAUGUCAGUGAAUGUAGAGAUGAACGUGAUAGUGACUGGUGGUGGAUUGUGGUACUGGGCUGCGGUGUGAAGAUUUGUUUAUAGUGACUCUUUAAGGUCAAGCAUGUGUUUAUUGUGGAAGUUGUGACUAAUUCUGUAUUAGCUGUGAUCGAUUGUGACUUGAUCACAUAAUGCCACAAUAAAUAUUAAAUUGGUCACAGACAGUCACACUGAAUACAAAUUUGGUCACAAUUGGUCACGGACAACACAUGGCAGUGUCCCAGUGACUUGGUUUCAGAUGGUUUGGUCACAAUCAGCCACAGAUAACACAGGUAUGGUCACAAAUUAUAAAUCUGGUUACAUAUAACACAAUUAAUCACAAAACUCGUCAACUACAAUAUAACACUAUUGCCAUCACAUGGUACCCAAAACAUUGUUAACACCUUACUACCACCACCAAACAGAUUAACUGCAGUGCUACUUCAUUACCUCCAAUGCAUUAUCUCUGCCACCAUACAGAUCUAUUUUUUAAACAUAGCUCCACCUCACCAUCCCCACCAUCUGUAAAGUUUUGUGUCUGAAAAUGUGUAUAGAGAGAGAGCUUCUGUGGAGAGAGAGGACGAUUUUAAUUUUUGGAGUCGUCGGAGUGAUCAUCGGAAU